rnacentral:rRNA from 1 species
UUCGUAGGGGGCAAGCGUUGUCCGGAUUCAUUGGGCGUAAAGAGCGUGUAGGCGGCCAGGUAGGUCGGUUGUGAAAACUGGAGGCUCAACCUUCAGAGGUCGACCGAAACCAUCUGGCUAGAGUCCGGGAGAGGGAAGUGGAAUUCCCGGUGUAGUGGUGAAAUGCGUAGAUAUCGGGAGGAACACCAGUGGCGAAGGCGGCGCCCUGGCACGCAACUGACGCUCAGACACGACAGCAUGGGGAGCGAACGGG